AACGAACGCUGGCGGCAUGCCUAACACAUGCAAGUCGAACGAGACCUUCGGGUCUAGUGGCGCACGGGUGCGUAACGCGUGGGAACCUGCCCUUAGGUUCGGAAUAACUCCCCGAAAGGGGUGCUAAUACCGGAUAAUGUCUUCGGGCCAAAGAUUUAUCGCCUUUGGAUGGGCCCGCGUUGGAUUAGCUAGUUGGUAGGGUAAAAGCCUACCAAGGCGACGAUCCAUAGCUGGUCUGAGAGGAUGAUCAGCCACACUGGGACUGAGACACGGCCCAGACUCCUACGGGAAGCAGCAGUGGGGAAUAUUGGACAAUGGGCGAAAGCCUGAUCCAGCAAUGCCGCGUGAGUGAUGAAGGCCUUAGGGUUGUAAAGCUCUUUUACCCGGGAUGAUAAUGACAGUACCGGGAGAAUAAGCUCCGGCUAACUCCGUG
rnacentral:rRNA from 1 species